rnacentral:rRNA from 1 species
UUCCGGUUGAUCCCGCCGGACCCCACUGCUAUCGAGAUGGGACUAAGGUAUGCUAGUCGAACGACCAGAACUAUGUCUGGGAGUGGCACACUGCUCAGUAACACGUAGCUAACCUACCCUUAGGACGUGGAUACCCCCGAGAAAUUGGGGUUAAUCCGCGAUAGGUGUAAUGUCCUGGAAUGGUAUUACGUCUAAAGGUAUUUCAUACAUGUUUGAAAUAUGCCUAAGGAUGGGGCUGCGGCCGAUCAGGCUGUUGGUGAGGUAAUGGCUCACCAAACCUUUGACCGGUACGGGCCAUGAGAGUGGUAGCCCGGAGAUGGACACUGAGACAAGGGUCCAGGCCCUAAGGGGCGCAGCAACCGCGAAACCUCCACAAUGCACUCACGUGCGAUGGGGCUAUCUCGAGCGCCACCUGAUGAAGGUGGCUUUUCCUAGGUCUUCAAAGCCUUGGGAAUAAGAGGGGGGCAAGACUGGUGUCAGCCGCCGCGGUAACACCAGCCCCUCGAGUGGUGGGGAUGAUUAUUUGGCCUAAAGCGUCCGUAGCCGGCCGAGCAAGUCUUCCGUUAAAUCCAGCGUCUCAAGCGUUGGACUGCGGGAGAUACUACACGGCUAGAGAGUGGGAGAGGUCAGCGGUAUUCUGGGGGUAGGGGCGAAAUCCUUUGAUCCCCGGAGGACCACCAGUGGCGAAGGCUGCUGACUAGAACACGUCUGACGGUCAGGGACGAAAGCUGGGGUAGCGAACCGGAUUAGAUACCCGGGUAGUCCCAGCCCGUAAA